rnacentral:rRNA from 1 species
UCGGCGGCGUCGACUACACAUGCAAGUCGAACGGACCCAUAUUGAAACCUAGUGAUAUAUGGUUAGGUGGCGGACGGGUGAGUAACGACGUGGGUAACCUGCCUUACACAGGGGGAUAACACUUAGAAAUAAGGUGCUAAACCGCAUAAGCGCACAGCUUCGCAUGAAGCGGUGUGAAAACUCCGGUGGUGUAAGAUGGACUCGCGUCUGAUUAGCUUGUUGGCGGGGUAACGGCCCACCAAGGCGACGAUCAGUAGCCGGCCUGAGAGGGCGGACGGCCACAUUGGGACUGAGACACGGCCCAGACUCCUACGGGAGGCAGCAGUGGGGAAUAUUGCACAAUGGGGGAAACCCUGAUGCAGCGACGCCGCGUGAGUGAAGAAGUAAUUCGUUACGUAAAGCUCUAUCAGCAGGGAAGAAACACUGACCUUACGGCCAGCAGACGGUGCCUGAGUAAGAAGCCCCGGCUAACUACGUG